rnacentral:lncRNA from 1 species
CGGGAGACCUCGUCGCUCCAUCGCCACCAUGUCGUCGUGCUGCCGGAGCUCUUCCCCAACCUCUCCCUCCUCCUUGCUGGAUCAAGGUGCGGGAGACGUCACCGGGCUGUACGUGUGUUGAACGCGGAGGUGCCGUGGUUCGGCACUAGAUCGGAAUCAGACCGCGAUCUGAAUCGCAACGAGUAUGACUCCGUCAACCGCGUUCUAGCAACGCUUCUGCUUAGCGAUCUUCAAAGGUAUGAAG